ACUGUUAGAUGUCGCUGUAGAUUUAGCAGUACAUUACUGUAAAAAUCCACAGUACUAUACUGUAUGUAUACAUUACAGUACAGUACUGCAGAUCAUAAUGCAUUCUGGGUAAAUUUGUUUGAGCGGGAAAAUUUUACAGUAUAUUUUGGUCUUGAUGUAACCUUGCUGUAGCCAUUGCUGUAAUGUGCCAGGUGUACUUGCAAUAAUCAGAGAAAGUGCGCCAACGUCAAAUCACACAGAGGGAGAGAGAGCACAACUCCUGGCUGCAGCUGAAGGAGGACGAUUGAUUUCUGGCAGUUCGUCUUACCAUUGCUUGUAAGCUGGAUUGGGUAAGAUGGAUCAUCUUUAAAGGCACCAGGAGUUAAGGCAGAUGUGGAGGCACAACGUGUGAUACCAGACACACACCAAGCACAUUAUGUUCGGACAUUCAAUCAUGACAGGAUCCAGGUGGAUGCUGUCCAUUGAGGAAAGAGUUUGUUCCGAGGUUUCUGGAUAGAAUUAAUUCCAAAGAUGGGAAAAAGUGCACAUCCAGACAAGGAGCAAGCAAAAAGACAAGGAACUUGGUGCAGAGAAAAGCUGUGGCCAUUAACCCCCAUGUGAACAGCUUCAUGCAGUCCCUGAUUGAGUUCGAAGGGACGACUUCAAA